rnacentral:misc_RNA from 2 species
GGGGAUUGAAAAUCCCC